GACGAACGCUGGCGGCGUGCUUAACACAUGCAAGUCGAACGGAAAGGCCCUGCUUUUGUGGGGUGCUCGAGUGGCGAACGGGUGAGUAACACGUGAGUAACCUGCCCUUGACUUUGGGAUAACUUCAGGAAACUGGGGCUAAUACCGGAUAGGAGCUCCUGCUGCAUGGUGGGGGUUGGAAAGUUUCGGCGGUUGGGGAUGGACUCGCGGCUUAUCAGCUUGUGGGUGGGGUAGGGGCUUACCAAGGCUUUGACGGGUAGCCGGCCUGAGAGGGUGACCGGCCACAUUGGGACUGAGGUACGGCCCAGACUCCUACGGGAGGCAGCAGUGGGGAAUAUUGCACAAUGGGCGGAAGCCUGAUGCAGCAACGCCGCGUGCGGGAUGACGGCCUUCGGGUUGUAAACCGCUUUCGCCUGUGACGAAGCGUGAGUGACGGUAAUGGGUAAAGAAGCACCGGCUAACUACGUG
rnacentral:rRNA from 1 species